AUCCCUCAAUAUUCUCAUUCUACUCCUGACUGUUCCCUCGUUAGGUGGGCAUUUCUAAUUAUGCUUGUCCGCAAUAGUUGGUGGGGAUGUUGUAACGUGAGGACAUCCACCAUCCAUCACCUUAAAGAUAAAUGGAGAGGAUUUUGUGGUGUGUGUUCAAGAGGCACUGCUGUUGGGUGUGUUGCUGCCAAAACACGUGAUCUCAGCUGUCCCCAGCAGCUGUCUCAGAAGAUUGGUCCUGAUGCAGCCACAGCUGCUGUUCACAGAGCCAGGAGCUCUUUGCAGUUUAGUGUAUUCUGCUGAGAUUUAUGGCUCCGACCCUCCUCUGUUCUGCCAUUCCUGGUAGUAUCUGCUCAGUUGCCUGGUUUGCUCCAGUGUUUCCUGGGACCCUGUUGUGUAACUGCAUUUCAGAGGGUCUUAAGGGAUUCUACCCUCACUACACCAGUCACUCUACACUGGCCAUGCACUUAGCUUCUUGGGGCCCUGCAUAUGUCCUCUUCAUUGGAGCUGUGAAGAGUUCUAGUUAGGGAUAGAUCUCAUUCUUACUUGCCUCAGGCUGCUUAGAAAGCUGAUCAUCUUGUCUUUGGACACAUGGAUAUUGUUCCUUUUGUGUAUUUUGAAGUCCGAUGCUGUUUUUUUUUUUUUUUUUUUAAACAACGUGGACGCUUGCAUUAAUAGUCACUUUUAAAUAUCUUUGUGAAUUUAACUCUGGCAACAACUUGAUGAAGUUGACAUGCGAUCCCCAUUUUAUAGGUGAUGGAACUGACACUCGGAGAGGUAGAGUAGCUUUAUUUACUUCACACAAGCUGUGGAUGAAUUUCAAAUCUCAACCUAGAAGUCUUCCUCUAAGAUUCGUUCUGUGCACUAACAUGCAAUACAAAUACUGAUGAAAAUAAAACUAUUGCCCUCCUACCAAAUGGUAAUAGCGCUUACAUUUUUCCUCUUUUUCUAAUUAUAAAAGAAAUGCAUGCUGUUUUAAGAAUGUUAGGUCAUAGAGAUCUUUAUGUAGUGAAAAUCUCCCAUGUCUUCCUCUUUGUUCCAAACUCACUCCCUUCUUAGAAGGAAUUAUUAUUGCUUGGGGUUUAUUUUUCUGGAUGUUUUCUAUAAAUUUA